rnacentral:rRNA from 1 species
AUUGAACGCUGGCGGCAUGCUUUACACAUGCAAGUCGAACGGCAGCACGGGCUUCGGCCUGGUGGCGAGUGGCGAACGGGUGAGUAAUAUAUCGGAACGUACCCAGAAGUGGGGGAUAACGUAGCGAAAGUUACGCUAAUACCGCAUACGAUCUAUGGAUGAAAGCAGGGGACCGCAAGGCCUUGUUCUCCUGGAGCGGCCGAUAUCUGAUUAGCUAGUUGGUGAGGUAAAGGCUCACCAAGGCGACGAUCAGUAGCUGGUCUGAGAGGACGACCAGCCACACUGGAACUGAGACACGGUCCAGACUCCUACGGGAGGCAGCAGUGGGGAAUUUUGGACAAUGGGCGCAAGCCUGAUCCAGCAAUGCCGCGUGAGUGAAGAAGGCCUUCGGGUUGUAAAGCUCUUUUGUCAGGGAAGAAACGGUAGAGGCUAAUAUCCUUUGCUAAUGACGGUACCUGAAGAAUAAGCACCGGCUAACUACGUG